AGGCAUCACUAUCUUCUAGCGAAUGGAACAUAUCUUGGAGUAGGGAAGAACUCUGAACUCAUGAAGCAUUUAAACUACCCAGUUGCCCAGUGGUGUAGCUUGCUUUCUGAUCUGCGCUGUGUAUCUAUAGACCUUCCUCCAUACUGACCCCUCCACAAACACACACACAGAUCCAUUUAGCAAAUAUUGUGUUACUUACUUAGAAAUUUGGGGUUGUAUAUAUUUUUCUUUCUUUUCUUUUUUAAGAUUUUAUUUAUUUAUUUGACAGAGACAGACAGCAAGAGAGGGAACACAAGCAAAGGGAGUGGGAGAGGGAGAAGCAGGCUUCCCGCUGA